AGGAUGAACGCUGGCGGCGUGCCUAAAACAUGCAAGUCAUACGGGCUACCUUCGGGUAGCCAGUGGCAAACGGGUGAGUAACACGUGGGAACACGCCUUCGAGUGGGGAAUAACGCUGAGAAAUCAGUGCUAAUACCGCAUAUGGUCUAACGACUAAAGCAGCAAUGCGCUCGGAGAGUGGCCCGCGACCGAUUAGCUAGUUGGUGGGGUAAUGGCCUACCAAGGCGGUGAUCGGUAGCUGGUCUGAGAGGAUGGUCAGCCACACUGGGACUGCGAACGGCCCAGACUCCUACGGGAGGCAGCAGUUAGGAAUUUUCGGCAAUGGACGAAAGUCUGACCGAGCGACGCCGCGUGGAGGAUGAAGCCUUUCGGGGUGUAAACUCCUUUUCUGCGGGAAGAUAAUGACGGUACCGCAGGAAUAAGCACCGGCUAACUACGCGCCAGCAGCCGC
rnacentral:rRNA from 1 species